rnacentral:rRNA from 1 species
AAUCAACGCUGGCGGCGUGCCUCAGACAUGCAAGUCGAACGCGAAAUCCCGAGCAAUCGGGAGAGUAGAGUGGCGCACGGGUGAGUAACACGUAGGUAAUCUACCUUCGGAUGGGGAAUAACAACCGGAAACGGUUGCUAAUACCGCAUAAUGCAGCGGCACCUAAUGGUGACAGUUGUUAAAGCGGGGGAUCGAAAGACCUCGCGUCUGAAGAGGAGCCUGCGGCGGAUUAGCUAGUUGGUAAGGUAAUGGCUUACCAAGGCAACGAUCCGUAACCGGCCUGAGAGGGCGGUCGGUCACACUGACACUGACAUACGGGUCAGACUCCUACGGGAGGCAGCAGUCGGGAAUUUUGGGCAAUGGGCGAAAGCCUGACCA